ACAGCUCACUCAACUGCCAAG
rnacentral:miRNA from 1 species